rnacentral:rRNA from 1 species
UAUUGGUCAAUGGACGCAAGUCUGAACCAGCCAUGCCGCGUGCAGGAAGACGGCCCUUCGGGUUGUAAACUGCUUCUGUACCGGAAUAAACCUUUUCACGUGUGAGAAGCUGAAUGUACGGUAAGAAUAAGGAUCGGCUAAAUCCGUGCCAGCAGCCGCGGUAAUACGGAGGAUCCAAGCGUUAUCCGGAUUUAUUGGGUUUAAAGGGUGCGUAGGUGGCCUGGUAAGUCAGGGGUGAAAGACGGCAGCUUAACUGUCGCAGUGCCUUUGAUACUGCCGGGCUUGAAUACAGUGGAAGUGGGAGGAAUGUGACAAGUAGCGGUGAAAUGCAUAGAUAUGUAACAGAACACCGAUCGCGAAGGCAGCUCACUAAAGUGUGGUAGACACUGAGGCACGAAAGCGUGGGGAUCAAACAG